rnacentral:rRNA from 1 species
CAGUAGCCACGGUAAUACGGAGGGUGCAAGCGUUAAUCGGAAUUACUGGGCGUAAAGCGCACGCAGGCGGUCUGACAAGUCAGAUGUGAAAUCCCCGGGCUUAACCUGGGAACUGCAUUUGAAACUGUCAGGCUGGAGUCUUGUAGAGGGGGGUGGAAUUCCAGGUGUAGCGGUGAAAUGCGUAGAGAUCUGGAGGAAUACCGGUGGCGAAGGCGGCCCCCUGGACAAAGACUGACGCUCAGGUGCGAAAGCGUGGGGAGCAAACAGGAUUAGAUACUCCAGUAGUCCCUGUCUCUUAUAC